GCUGAGACUUCUCUCCUCAGCUGGUUAGAGCAUGGUGCUGAUAAUGCCAAGGUUGCAGGUUCGAUCCCUGUAUGGGACAGCU